GUUGAAACGACGGUUCUCGUACGAAGACCAAAGUUAAGCAACCUUGAGCCUGGUCAGUACUUAGAAUGGUGACCGCUUGGGAAUAUUGGAUUCUGUA